rnacentral:rRNA from 1 species
CGGGUGGCUGCAGUUAAGAAUAUUCCGCAAUGGCCGAAAGGCUGACGGAGCGACGCCGCGUGCAGGAUGAAGGGCUUCGGCUCGUAAACUGCUUUUAUUUGGGAAGAACUUUGACGGUACCAAAUGAAUAAGGGGUUGCUAACUCUGUGCCAGCAGCAGCGGUAAUACAGAGACCUCAAACGUUGUCCGGAUUUAUUGGGCGUAAAGGGUCCGCAGGCGGCUAUGCGCGUCGAUGGGUUAAAUUUCGGGGCUCAACUCCGAAACCGCUCUCGAUACGGCAUAGCUAGAGGCCGGGAGAGGCACACGGAAUUGCCGGUGUAGUAGUAAUAUGCGUUAAUAUCGGCAAGAACACCAAAUGCGAAGGCAGUGUGCUGGAACGGUUCUGACGCUCAGGGACGAAAGCGUGGGGAGCGAAAGGGAUUAGAUACCCCAGUAGUC